CCUACGGGAGGCAGCAGUGAGGAAUAUUGGUCAAUGGGCGCUGGCCUGAACCAGCCAAGUAGCGUGAAGGAUGACUGCCCUAUGGGUUGUAAACUUCUUUUGUCUGGGAAUAAAGUGUAGUAUGUAUACUGCUUUGCAUGUACCUUAUGAAAAAGGAUCGGCUAACUCCGUGCCAGCAGCCGCGGUAAUACGGAGGAUUCGAGCGUUAUCCGGAUUUAUUGGGUUUAAAGGGAGCGUAGGCGGGAUGUUAAGUCAGGGGGGAAAGUUGGCGGCUCAACCUUAGAACUGCAGUUGAUACUGGCAUCCUUGAGUACAGUAGAGGUAGGCGGAAUGCGUGGUGUAGCGGUGAAAUGCUUAGAUAUCACGAAGAACUCCGAUUGCGAAGGCAGCAUGCUGGACUGUAACUGACGCUGAUGCUCGAAAGUGUGGGUAUCAAACAGGAUUAGAUACCCUAGUAGUC
rnacentral:rRNA from 1 species